GCGUGGAGGGGUGAAAGAGGUGAGGGGUGAGCAUCUUUACUCCCCAGUGACCUGCACUCUGAUGAGAGAAUUUAGGCAGGACCAGCUGGGCCAGGAAGGCCUUUUGAGGCAGUUGUGAAACUGAGCCAUCAACUGCUGCCUUGUGCCUGGAGAUCAGUAAAAUGAAGGACAUGGAGACACUAAAGAUGGAAAGUUUUUGAACUACGUACUGGCAGGAAUGUGGCUGACAACACGGUGACCUGGAUCUGCCUCCAGGGGUGCUGGCAGAGCAGGGCCCUCAUGCAGGGUUAGGAGAUGCAUGGAAUUCAAGGCCUCCGAGUGACAGUUAGCAGAACCCGAAUGGGCUGCUCAUCAAGGAAACAGCCCUGAUGGAGUCCAGGAACUUAAGUUCCAGUUCUGGUUCCUUCGCCAUUCAGCUGUGCCAUGAUAGGCACAUCACUUAGCCUCACUGGAGUUCAGUUUCCUCAGUAGCAAAAUGUGGUGAAGAUGCAGAAACUGAGUAUCUAAGAAAUGAAGCCACCUACUCAAAGCCACUCAGUUGAUAGCAAAGUGGAGAUGCAAAGCCAUGUUUGUUCAACUCCAAAGACAAGUUCCAUCAACCACAUUCUAAAAUCUUCCUGAUCCCUGCCAAAGCAUAGAACAGUCUCCUGUCCCUACUCAGACUCCAAGAACUUACCUGAUUUGAUGGGCUGACCAGUGCCAGGGACCUCCUGUCAGGUUCCAGCUGGUCACGUUCUACCUGGAGCCAGGAGCCAGUUUCCCCUCCAGCAAUCACAUCACUCAUGCCCUGCCCAUGACCCCACAUGGGUCAGGGAUCUCCUGGACAGGGGGCAGGCCCCCGCCUUCUGUGACCUCAAUCUUCCUGGGACUCUUAGUCUUGGUUGGUCAUGGGGCAGGGGUGUCAGAGUUUUCCCAAUCUAGUUUCUAGAGUUCACAGAUUCUAGAGGGCUGUUUCCUGGGAUCAAGGACACUUUGUUUUGUGUGUCCUGACUGUGGCUGUCAUGGUUAGAAUGCAUUAAUUAUGAAUCGAGCUGACAUUCUUUCAGGAAACAACUGGUCGUUAGAACAGAAUCUUCUCUCAUUACCAGCAUUUGGAAAGUUGAGUUUCAUUUUGUCAGUCAUUCAAUGUGCAUCUUUCCAAUAAUGUGGUAUGUCCAGCGUUCCAGCAUGAACCACAUAUUUCCCCAAGCUGACCAUACAGCUUUCUUCUGGAACUUUCACAGGAAACACCCUGAGAUGUAGCCUGCAGAGCUGAAGGCGACAGAUGAACCUCAGCCCCUCUGCAUUCAUUGCGCAACUAUGAGGGGACAAGCAGUUUGCCCUCAGUUGUCAUCAGCCCACAUGAUUCCUGUCUGGCACAGCCUCCCUUCCCAUUGGCCAAACUCUCACCAUUCCUUUUCAGGCUCCGCCUAAGUGUCUCACCCCUACACCCUUUCCCUUAAUCAGGCUGAAGUUGGAAUGUGUUCACCCAAUUUUAUUAUAACUAAAUAUAUUCAGCUUGACCUAAGCUUUAGCAGAUUUUAAUAGUUAUUAAUGGAAUAUUCAUCUAUUUCCCUAUACAUACUGUAAUCAACAUUCCAAUUCUCAAAUGCACUAAAGUAUCUGAAGAUCAGACACUUUAAGUAAUUUAAAUUUAUGACAAAGUUUUCUGAAGAUAUAAGCAGAUCCUGUUAGAUACAGAUGCACUGUAGCAUGAUGAAAUUCUUACAAACACUUUCAUGCACUGUAGCAUGAUGAAAAUAUCUGACCAGAGCCUGUCACUGUACCUUGUAGACAUUCUUACAAAUAGCUCUUAUCUAAUCCUCAUAAUCCAUCACCCGUCACCCACAGGUGACAGUUAAACCAUUGGAUCCACAUGAUUACUGAAGGCUUGCUUCUUCAUUGGCUGCAGGAAUCUCAUGAAAAUCAUGUCUUCAUAUAUAGCAAAACUUUGGGCUUAUGCAUCCUUCUAGGAAGAAUAAGCAGUUAAUGGGCAUGACAGGCCUUUGAAGCCUAUGUAACCCUGCAUGUGUGCAAGCUGCUCUUUUAAGUGGACAACAAAAGACAGUGGCAGAAGUCAGGCUGGGCUCCAGACCCAGCUCUACCUUAAUAGUCAGGUGAUCUCUAUCAGGUCAUUUGUAUUCUCUGAACCUCAGGUUUCUUGUCUGUCAAUGGAAAUUAUAAUAAUGCCUGCCCUACUGUGAAGUUCAGAUGAGCUCAUGGAUGUGAACACCUUUUGUGGGUUACAGAGCAACACUUGAAUGCCAGCCAUCCUUUGUUAACGUAUAUUAACUCUUAGUUCCUACAAUACUAGGAGGUAGAUAUCAUCCCCUCCUUUCACAGAUGUGGAGACUCCAAUGAGUAGACCCUUGAGGAGCUGACCUUCCAACUCAGAUCUCCCCAUCCAAUGCUCUUCCCCUCUGUGCCCAGGCACCAUCCUCGGCUCCCAUCCCUGCUCACAGCUGCAUCAUGUGCAUACUGUGAGCAUCACAUCAUACAGUCUUACCUUAAAUCUGGGGUCAAAUCAGUUGUCAAGAGCCACACACUGGGAAGAGGGAGAUCAAGGAAAACCAGCCAAGCUCCUCCCAAUAUAAGGAUGUUUGCCAAGUUCCAGGGAGCUCCUGCUACCCCCAGGCCUGGGUGAAGUAAGCACUGGAUAGAACAGACAGGAUACAAUGGCAUUGCCCUGAGAAGGCUUUCCAUCUGGCGAGGCAAGGACUCAGAGACACAGGUGAUUUUUAAGAUCCCACUUGUGUCCCUCAUUGGUCUACAGGCUCCAUGAAGUCAGGUAUCAAACAUUUCCAUUGCUAUAUUCUCCAGGCCUAAUCUGGAUCCUCCCAGGGCGGCUCUUCAGUGAACGUGUACUGAACUGAACAGACAUUCACAGAGCAGAUGGACAGCACUAGGGACUCAUCCUCUGGCCCCAGAGGCCCAUGAAAGAAUAUCCAGGCAGGCUGGACUACGCUGGGAAGGGGGAGGCCUGGACUCUCAUCGACAGGGAGGGGCCCCAAAAGGAAGAGAAACCCAUCAACAUCCUGUGAACUAAAUGGAAAGAAAUGCUGUUUAGGAAAAAAAAACAUGAUAAAUAAAAUUCCUGAGAGCAGCUGCUAAGCCAGGGAGCACCACACUCAUCCCCUUCUGCAAGAGAAUGAAAAGAUGGAGCUACAGCUCCCAUCCCACAUCUGCAUCUGGUGUGGCCUUCCCGCCACGGGCCAGGGGUCGGACCUGGUUCCACAGGCAAAGGGGCUGCUUAGGCUGGGCUUGAAAUAGGCUGAGUGGAAACCUGCGCGCCCCUGCCUGCCUCCCUGUACAUGGAAAGGAGCUUUCAGUGAGUAUGGAGAUUUCUGCCUUUGUCAGAGGAAGGCGUCCUCAUCACAAGGCAGGGCAGGUGUCUGUGCCCAAGAGCUGAGCAGAGAACAAGCAGCCAGUGGAGGCUUUCGCUUGAACCGUGCAACCCUUACCUGAUUGGGAAGCGCAAGUGACAAUUAAUAGUGAGUCACUUUAUGUAAAUGCCUCUCUCUUUUUGUAUGCUAUAUUUAGAGAAACAAACUGCUUUGGCAUUUAGAGAUACAUUUUAUGUAAGAGUUUGUUGCUGAUGCUGCUGUUACUGUUCAUCAUCCAGAUAAUAAAAGCAAACUAGAAAUACUCAAA